rnacentral:rRNA from 1 species
AUUGAACGCUGGCGGCAGGCCUAACACAUGCAAGUCGAACGAGUGGCGGACGGGUGAGUAAUGUCUGGGAAACUGCCCGAUGGAGGGGGAUAACUACUGGAAACGGUAGCUAAUACCGCAUACCAUCGGAUGUGCCCAGAUGGGAUUAGCUAGUAGGUGGGGUAACGGCUCACCUAGGCGACGAUCCCGAGCUGGUCUGAGAGGAUGACGAGCCACACUGGAACUGAGAACCGGUCCAGACUCCGACGGGAGGAAGCAGUGGGAAAUAUUGGACAAGGGGCGAAAGCCUGAUGAAGCCAGGCCGCGGGUAUGAAGAAGGCCUGCGGGUUGUAAAGUACUUUCAGCGAGGAGGCGUUACUCGCAGAAGAAGCACCGGCUAACUCCGUGCCAGCAGCCGCGGUAAUUC